CGGAUGGAUUCAUGUGAAAAGAAGAAACUGAUGGAUUUAUGACUCCCUCCUCAUGAAGGGUAAUCGACCUAGUGGCUCUCCCUUUUAAGCACUGGAGUUGAUCCCUUCCCGUCACUCGCCUGCCCGGGUUCUCAUCACAGUCUUCUCCUCGAGGCGUCCGCUGAUUCCGCCCCGCUUGCUAGAGCUUACCCCUUGUCUUCUCAACCACGAGUUGGCAGCCAGUACAAAUGGACGACCGAAGCAACAGAACGCCGCCUAAUUAUGGAAAAAAUAAUCCGCCAUGUUCUACCGCCGUUUCAAGAAGAGAAGCUCAAAAGAAAUACAAGGAUGCAAUUGCAAAGAUGAAGGGCACAAAAGACCCGACGUUUAUAACUUUCAAACAGGUGUCCAAGCCUCAACACAUCGCUAACCAACUGUCUGGUCACCAUCCAUUAUCAUCUAUGGGAUAUAUCGUGGAGUAUGAAAAGAAUGGGAUACCAUAUAUUCAGGUUGUAGUAACUCAAGAAGGCCCACAACAAAUAUAUUGAGUAAGAAUAUGGUACAUGCUAUCAUACAGCAUAUGGUUCAUGCUACAAAUAGCAGGCUUUAUCCUCCAAUACAUACCAGCAAUAAAUUUUAGUCAUUGUAUGU